UACGAAGGGGGCUAGCGUUGCUCGGAAUCACUGGGCGUAAAGCGCACGUAGGCGGAUCUUUAAGUCAGGGGUGAAAUCCUGGAGCUCAACUCCAGAACUGCCUUUGAUACUGGGGAUCUCGAGUCCGGGAGAGGUGAGUGGGAACUGCGAGUGUAGAGGUGAAAUUCGUAGAUAUUCGCAAGAACACCAGUGGCGAAGGCGGCUCACUGGCCCGGUACUGACGCUGAGGUGCGAAAGCGUGGGGAG
rnacentral:rRNA from 1 species